rnacentral:rRNA from 1 species
GAUCAUGGCUCAGGAUGAACGCUAGCUACAGGCUUAACACAUGCAAGUCGAGGGGCAGCAUGACGGAAGCUUGCUUCCGUUGAUGGCGACCGGCGCACGGGUGAGUAACGCGUAUCCAACCUGCCCUUGUCCACCGGAUAACCCGUCGAAAGGCGGACUAACACGGUAUGCAGUCCACAGCGAGGCAUACUAACGGUGGAACGAAAUGUAGGAAGGAGAAGAGUGGGAUGCGU